GGAGGUUCUCGGGUGAUGCACCCUGGAAUCGGGCUUCCUCCUCUCUGGCUCUGGGUGCAUCACCAGUGAACCACA
rfam:Myotis brandtii contig215388, whole genome shotgun sequence.